CCUACGGGUGGCAGCAGUCGAGAAUCAUUCAUAAUGGGGGAAACCCUGAUGGUGCGACGCCGCGUGGGGGAAUGAAGGUCUUCGGAUUGUAAACCCCUGUCAUGUGGGAGCAAAUUAAAAAGAUAGUACCACAAGAGGAAGAGACGGCUAACUCUGUGCCAGCAGCCGCGGUAAUACAGAGGUCCCAAGCGUUGUUCGGAAUCACUGGGCGUAAAGCGUGCGUAGGCUGUUUCGUAAGUCGUGUGUGAAAGGCGCGGGCUCAACCCGCGGACGGCACAUGAUACUGCGAGACUGGAGUAAGGGAGGGGGAACCGGAAUUCUCGGUGUAGCAGUGAAAUGCGUAGAUAUCGAGAGGAACACUCGUGGCGAAGGCGGGUUCCUGGACAUUAACUGACGCUGAGGCACGAAGGCCAGGGGAGCGAAAGGGAUUAGAUACCCGGGUAGUC
rnacentral:rRNA from 1 species